UCCAGCAGCCAUAUCACCCUGCAACUCACAACUGGCAACCCACUGAAGCUAAGCAGGUGUGAGCCUGGACAGUACCUGGAUGGCAGACCUCCUGGGAAAAACUAAGGUUGCUGUUGGAA
ensembl:rRNA 5S_rRNA 5S ribosomal RNA